rnacentral:lncRNA from 1 species
AAAUCAAACAUUUUAUUUUCCAGUAACAAUAAGACAUUUUAAUUUAAUGGAUUCUUAACAUUUUGGGCAACAAAUGAAGCUGUCAUUUACCUUUCUGGCAACAGUAAUUGCUUGAAAGGAAGUCUUUCCAGACAGCUGCUGAGAAGUCUUAAUCUUGGAUCUCUGCUUUCACCUUAGUGGUCCCUGGUAAAAAGACCAUGCAGUGUCUGUCAGUCAGUUAUUGUUCUCCUAUGUCCAUCAUUCUUCUUUAUUGUCACACAUUAUCUGCACCAUUAUCAGCAACUAAAUUCUCUUGCUGCUGCUCUGUUCAGCCUAUUCUUUUCCAUAACAGCAGCUUCCUUUCCUGUACUCCCAUUAGCUGCUACAUCUGACCAGCAGUCUCACACUGCUGUUAGCUUUGACAAUCAACUUGCCCCAACUGCCCCUUUGCUCAAACAAGUAUGAAACUCAAUCAUUGCACCUUCCAAGUAAUACUUUUAUUUGUCUUAACCUGCAGGAUUUUCUCCCAGCAUAGUUUAAUAUAGUACAAUUCAGAACGAAGAUAAUUUAAGAUCCAUAAAGAAAGCUAACAACUAUAGUGCUAUAAACAGUUUGGAGGUGAAGCUAGAGGAAUUCCAGAAACCAGUGAAAUCAGCUUCCCCUGCCAACCCACAUUCAGCUACACAGCCUUCAGAAACAACAACAUAGUGAAAACAACAACAACAAGCCAAAGAACAGACAAACAAUCGAAACCAUAUUAUUUAGUUAUCCAACCUGUUAAGUCUCUGCAGUGUUUCCAGGAAGAGAUCACCAUAUCUUUUCUUCUAGAAAAGUUUGAUGCGGGGCAAGCAAAACAUACAGUUAAAUUCUGAAGACAGCGAAGUGUUUGAGAAGUCUCCUGUGGGGAAUAUUUCCUCUGGAACACCGGUAUGGCCAAAGGCAUGCUGGUACCAUGCCAUGGAGGCAAGCUGUCAGCUGAAAUCAUCACAGUCACAAACAUCAUCUCAGAUAAAAUCUACUCAAAAGCAUUGCUCCGGUAAGCGGGACCUUGACCAGCCCUAACUGAUUAGAUGGUUCUGGUAUGAGCUCAGAAAAAUACAAUGGGAUGCCUGACCAAGAGCACUGCUAAAUGGGAUAUGGACAAAUCUCUCCUGCUAUGGUAGUUUAGGUAUGUGCAGAAAAGAAAAAAACACAAGUGACCUAUUAACAGCUUCAUAUCUUUAUCUUUGUGUUCAGGUUAGGAGGCUUGAAGGUGAUGGUAACACAGGUCACAAACUGUAAUUGCCUUUAGACAUGGGGAAAAUGACAGAGAUUAGUUAACCCAGGGGAUAUGUGCCUAGCAGGACCAUUGGCAGCUUAUUGUGACAU